rfam:Triticum aestivum genome assembly, contig: Triticum_aestivum_CS42_TGACv1_scaffold_062744_1DL
GUGUGAAUCACAGGGCGCUUCUCCCUUGGCACGGUGGCAUGCAUGUACAUAUGAUGGUGGUAGCCUGGUGAGCAUGCGGUGCAGCUUGCUAGCAAGCCGUGCGUGCCAAAGGAGAAUUGCCCUGCCAUUCGCCU